AAGAUGACGCAAUCUCACUAAUUCGAGCCAGGCUUGCAGUCAACAUAAUUGCGCGAACACGCCUUUCUUAAGCAGCACUAGAGGCCGAACAUGGAUCUAAUCGAUCAGUAAAGAGAGAGCAGCUCCUGCUCUUAGAAUCGUACGAAGAACUGAAAGAUUGAAUUAACGUUACACUGCUGCAGUAAAUAAAAUAAGAGAGAAAGGCUGGCAAAUAAUUGCUGAUCGACUGAAUGCAUGUGGAUCCAGCCACGCCCCCUGGGUCUUGUGUUCUGCAGGGAGGGGCUUCUGGAUGUAGCUGUAACUGGGGGCGGGCCUCCACCAACACCUUAACUCCUGCAGAGGAGCUGGCCUUGGACCUGAACAACCGGAGGCCAGUCAUUGAGGGAACAGCUUCUGAAACCAUACCACCUAAUAGAAGGAGUGACUUCAUAAAAGUGAUGGCAAAUUCUGUGUGCUUGUUGGAGCCACCAGAUGUCCUGUUGAACCCUGUGAGUAUGUGAGAGUUUAAAGCACUUAUUUACUGUCCAUGUUAAGUGGUGAUCAUUAACCUCAGUUUCAGGAGGAAGACCCAUCUACAACUGAGGAGGAUGAGGAGAGCGUGUCAGCCUGAGGUAAGCGAUGAUUGCACAUCGUAUAUCUAAAGCCUACUUGUGUGGUCAGGUGCUCACGGUACAUAUUUUCCAAAAAUUAUUGGCUGCAGGACGCUGACAUCCUUCCAGAAACCAGUCAGACUGGAACUGGAAGUGCUACCUCCUUAAAGAAAUGGAUGUUCUGGAUGUAGACAUUCAAUAUAAGAAGUUGAAGAUGAGAAAGCUGGAGCUGGAAAUCCAAAAACUGGAGAACUGUUGUGAUGAAACACUGACACUUGACAUUUUGGUCACCAUUUAAUCGUAUGUGUUUUGUUUUUCUUCUCCAGCAGCCAGCUUUAAGUUGAAAUUAAAAAAAAAUAAUAAUAAAUGAAAUACAAAUUAUGUGACUUGUGUGUGUUGUGUAAUGAAAUUGAGGGGCAAGUAGAGGGCUACAAACAUAAAAUGAAAGCCUUCA
rnacentral:lncRNA from 1 species